GAAAUGCGAUAAGUAAUGUGAAUUGCAGAAUUCAGUGAAUCAUCGAAUCUUUGAACGCACCUUGCGCUCCUUGGUAUUCCUUGGAGCAUGCCUGUUUGAGUAUCAUGAAAUCUUCAAAGUAAAUCUUUUGUUAACUCAAUUGGUUUCUACUUUGGUAUUGGAGGUCUUUGCAGCUUCACACUUGCUCCUCUUUGUUCAUUAGCUGGAUCUCAGUGUUAUGCUUGGUUCCACUCGGCGUGAUAAGUUAUCUAUCGCUGAGGACACUGUAAAAGGUGGCCAAGGUAAAUGCAGAUGAACCGCUUCUAAUAGUCCAUUGACUUGGACAAUACUUUUAUGAUCUGAUCUCAAAUCAGGUAGGACUACCCGCUGAACUUAAGC
rnacentral:misc_RNA from 1 species